rnacentral:rRNA from 1 species
UACGGAGGAGGCAAGCGUUAUCCGGAAUUAUUGGGCGUAAAGCGUCCGCAGGUGGCACUUCAAGUCUGUCGUCAAAGACUGGGGCUUAACCCUGGAAAGGCGGUGGAAACUGAAGCGCUAGAGUGCGGUAGGGGUAGAGGGAAUUCCCGGUGUAGCGGUGAAAUGCGUAGAGAUCGGGAAGAACACCAGUGGCGAAAGCGCUCUGCUGGACUGCAACUGACACUGAGGGACGAAAGCUAGGGGAGCGAAAGGG